GGGAUUUCGCAAUGGGCGAAAGCCUGACGGAGCAAUCUCGCGUGAGGGAUGACUGCCUAUGGGUUGUAAACCUCUUUUUUCAGGGAGGAAUAAAUGACGUGUACCUGAAGAAUAAGCAUCGGCUAACUCCGUGCCAGCAGCCGCGGUAAUA
rnacentral:rRNA from 1 species